GGUAUAUGUUGAAUUAAUUGCUCAACUGGAUCAGUUUUUGCAAGGACUGAGCUUCAGCAGGACUAAGGUGACUAUGAUGGACAAUGAAGGAAGCACAUGGAUGGGAAAUCUCUUAAAUAAAAGUUUAAUUUCAGCAGGACUAAGGUGACUAUGAUGGACAAUGAAGGAAGCACAUGGAUGGGAAAUCUCUUAAAUAAAAGUUUAAUGGCUUUGCAAAUAUUUACAGUCUGUGAAAUCAGCAUAUAUUUCUGGCUCGAAGUUUUGCUAGUGUUUUCUGUGGAAAGAGAAUAAAAGUCAAAUUUAGCUCUUUA